rnacentral:rRNA from 1 species
GACGAACCGUGCGAACGUUGUUCGGAAUCACUGGGCUUAAAGGGAGCGUAGGCGGGCUAACAAGUCUGGGGUGAAAUGCCGCGGCUCAACCGUGGAACUGCCUCAGAUACUGUCGGCCUCGAGGGAGAUAGGGGCAUGCGGAACUAACGGUGGAGCGGUGAAAUGCGUUGAUAUCGUUAGGAACUCCGGUGGCGAAAGCGGCGUGCUGGAUCUCUUCUGACGCUGAGGCUCGAA